rnacentral:rRNA from 1 species
GUUGGCUUAGAAGCAGCCAUCAUUUAAAGAAAGCGUAAUAGCUCACUGGUCGAGUCGGCCUGCGCGGAAGAUGUAACGGGGCUAAACCAUGCACCGAAGCUGCGGCAGCGACGCUUAUGCGUUGUUGGGUAGGGGAGCGUUCUGUAAGCCUGCGAAGGUGGCCUGUGAGGGUUGCUGGAGGUAUCAGAAGUGCGAAUGCUGACAUAAGUAACGAUAAAGCGGGUGAAAAGCCCGCUCGCCGGAAGACCAAGGGUUCCUGUCCAACGUUAAUCGGGGCAGGGUGAGUCGACCCCUAAGGCGAGGCCGAAAGGCGUAGUCGAUGGGAAACGGGUUAAUAUUCCCGUACUUGGUGUUACUGCGAAGGGGGGACGGAGAAGGCUAUGUUGGCCGGGCGACGGUUGUCCCGGUUUAAGCGUGUAGGUGUGUGUUCCAGGUAAAUCCGGUUCACUUUAACACUGAGGCGUGACGACGAGGCACUACGGUGCUGAAGCAACAAAUGCCCUGCUUCCAGGAAAAGCCUCUAAGCAUCAGGUAACAUCAAAUCGUACCCCAAACCGACACAGGUGGUCAGGUAGAGAAUACCAAGGCGCUUGAGAGAACUCGGGUGAAGGAACUAGGCAAAAUGGUGCCGUAACUUCGGGAGAAGGCACGCUGACACGUAGGUGAAGUGAUUUACUCAUGGAGCUGAAGUCAGUCGAAGAUACCAGCUGGCUGCAACUGUUUAUUAAAAACACAGCACUGUGCAAACACGAAAGUGGACGUAUACGGUGUGACGCCUGCCCGGUGCCGGAAGGUUAAUUGAUGGGGUCAGCGCAAGCGAAGCUCCUGAUCGAAGCCCCGGUAAACGGCGGCCGUAACUAUAACGGUCCUAAGGUAGCGAAAUUCCUUGUCGGGUAAGUUCCGACCUGCACGAAUGGCGUAAUGAUGGCCAGGCUGUCUCCACCCGAGACUCAGUGAAAUUGAACUCGCUGUGAAGAUGCAGUGUACCCGCGGCAAGACGGAAAGACCCCGUGAACCUUUACUAUAGCUUGACACUGAACAUUGAGCCUUGAUGUGUAGGAUAGGUGGGAGGCUUUGAAGUGUGGACGCCAGUCUGCAUGGAGCCGACCUUGAAAUACCACCCUUUAAUGUUUGAUGUUCUAACGUGGACCCGUUACCCGGGUUGCGGACAGUGUCUGGUGGGUAGUUUGACUGGGGCGGUCUCCUCCUAAAGAGUAACGGAGGAGCACGAAGGUUGGCUAAUCCUGGUCGGACAUCAGGAGGUUAGUGCAAUGGCAUAAGCCAGCUUGACUGCGAGCGUGACGGCGCGAGCAGGUGCGAAAGCAGGUCAUAGUGAUCCGGUGGUUCUGAAUGGAAGGGCCAUCGCUCAACGGAUAAAAGGUACUCCGGGGAUAACAGGCUGAUACCGCCCAAGAGUUCAUAUCGACGGCGGUGUUUGGCACCUCGAUGUCGGCUCAUCACAUCCUGGGGCUGAAGUAGGUCCCAAGGGUAUGGCUGUUCGCCAUUUAAAGUGGUACGCGAGCUGGGUUUAGAACGUCGUGAGACAGUUCGGUCCCUAUCUGCCGUGGGCGCUGGAGAACUGAGGGGGGCUGCUCCUAGUACGAGAGGACCGGAGUGGACGCAUCACUGGUGUUCGGGUUGUCAUGCCAAUGGCACUGCCCGGUAGCUAAAUGCGGAAGAGAUAAGUGCUGAAAGCAUCUAAGCACGAAACUUGCCCCGA